AAGUAAAGCAUGGCUCAGGCGGCGAUGACACAUCUUUGAAUGCCAUAAAAUCCUAUGUAAAUCGCUAAACGGUGAUUGUGUAGGAGCUGUCUCCUCAGAAAGGUCGGCUUGGGGGAAAUGGGUUGGAGAAACAAAAUGUAAUGGUUCUGAUGUAUUAGUUGCUUUCAGCUUGCAAGUAGAAGAAAACCAAGGAAAUUCAGACGAUUCAGCAGCAAACUUUAUCAAAUUCAAAUGUCGUAGUUUCGGCGCAUCAAUCGAUCAGACUUACGAACUUGUGAAAGAGCCAGGAUAUGGGCACUAUGGUACAUAUGGCGACUUCAGUGGAGACUGUAAUUCUAAUUCAGCCAUUUGUGGUAUUAUCACAAAAUUAGAAGAGCCCGUAAAUGGAGACGACAGUGCCCUUAAUGAUGUAGAGUUCUAUUGCUGCACGUGAAAUGUUACAUUACAAUCGACAAAAAAUAAAUGUAUAUCUUCACCUUUAA
rnacentral:lncRNA from 1 species